rnacentral:lncRNA from 1 species
UGCCUACAUUAACAGAAAGCUGGAGUUUGGAGCAGAGUUGGGGAGUAAACCCAGAGUCUCAGAUCUGGAAUGUUCCUAAACAACAGUGACAACAAAGUUAAAAGGAGAGCAUCUGUGAACACAGUCACUCUGCAAAAGGACCUGGGCUUCCUCACAGGCUUGGAAUUACGUGUCCAGUUUUAUUUCUCCUCAGUUGCAGAUUUCAUUAGAACUCCUUACAUCCGUCCCUGAAAUGGAGAAUCGUGGGAACUUCUGUAGCUUUCUUGUGAUUCCUGUAUGCAAAGCCUCAUUUUUUCCUGUGAUUAAGAUAAAGUAGCAUUGUACUUCAUCUUACUGCUUACUAAAUAUUAGGUAUGACUAUUAUUAGCAUCAUUAGGGGAAACAUAAUUUCACCAUACGUGAGGAGUGGCUAGAGCGUUCCAGAUUGUUAUAGGACAUCCUUCAAUCUGGAAGGAACACGUGAUAUGCACAGUCUGUGAAAAGCAUGCUAAUCAACCUCAAAGUGAUUUCUUUCAUAUACAAAAGUAUGUUUUGUGCAAUUAUAGGAGUGUAUCACAUGACUUUAUAAAAAGCUAACACUAUUUUCCAGUAGUUUUAGAUUAACAAAAAAGCUGCAAAGAUACCAUGUAUAUUUCACAGCCAGAUUCUCCUACUGAUAACAUCUCACAUUCCUCUGGUACAUUUGUCACAGUAGUAAACUGAUAUUAAUCAUUUUUAAUAUUUAAUAUACUUAUUAAAGUAUAAUUAUUAUUAAGGUUUUAUCAGUCUUUCCUUCAUUAGUUUUUUUUUUUUUUCUAUUCCAGCAUACUACAUGACAUUUAGAUUUUUCUUGGCUAAGGCAAAUCUCAGACUUCAUUUUUUGAUGACCUUGACAGUUUGGAAAAGCGCUGAUCAGGUGAUUUGUAGAAUGGUCCUCAAAUUGGUUUUUUUGUGUGUUAUCUUUCUCUUGGUUGGACCGAGGCUAUGAUGAGGACAACAGAGGUAACGGGUAAUUCGCCUCACGUCAUCCUGAGGGUUCACAUUAGCAGUGUGACUGAUCAGUGUUGAUGCUAACCUUGAUAACUGUCUGAGGUCAUGCUUUCUGGGUUUCUCCCUUGCAAGCCUAGUUUUUACCUUUUUCUUGCUGUAGUUUUUGGAAGCAACUCACUAUGUGACCCUGGUAAGGAGCUGGAAAUUCGGCCCCACCUGCUUGAAAGAUAGUAAACAAGUAAAGUGGAGUUUUCGGCAUGCA